GGCGGUAUGCCCAAGCGGUUAAGGGGACGGUCUGCAAAACCGUUAUUCAUCGGUUCGAAUCCGAUUGCCGCCUCCA
rnacentral:tRNA from 1 species